AGCAGCCGCGGUAAUUCCAGCUCCAAUAGCGUAUAUUAAAGUUGUUGCAGUUAAAAAGCUCGUAGUUGAAUUUCGGGGUCAGUAGGCUGGUCGUGCCACGGGUACGUACUGGUCUCACUGAUUCCUCCUUCCUGAAGAACCGUAAUGCCAUUAAUUUGGUGUUGCGGGGAAACAGGACUGUUACUUUGAAAAAUUAGAGUGUUUAAAGCAGGCUAACGCUUGAAUACAUUAGCAUGGAAUAAUGAAAUAGGACGUUCGAUCCUAUUUUGUUGGUUUCUAGGAUUGACGUAAUGAUUAAUAGGGAUAGUUGGGGGCAUUAGUAUUCAAUUGUCAGAGGUGAAAUUCUUGGAUUUAUUGAAGACUAACUACUGCGAAAGCAUUUGCCAAGGAUGUUUUCAUUAAUCAAGAACGAAAGUUAGGGGAUCGAAGACGAUCAGAUACCGUUGUAGUCUUAACCAUAAACUAUGCCGACUAGGGAUCGGAUGAUGUUAAUUUUUAAUGACUCAUUCGGCGCCUUACG
rnacentral:rRNA from 1 species